AGCUAUUUAAUGAUGAUUGCGAGAAUUUGUAAUGAAUGUCUGUAUUUUCAGGUUUAAAUAAAUAAACAUUAGUGAUUUUCUCUUAUAUAGUAACAACACGUCUUCGAAAUAAUUCUCUUUUUAUUGUGUCGUUUGGCUGCAUUCGGCUUCAGCCAAGCGCUUGCACUCGGUGACACGGAAUGUUGUUUACAUCUAAAAACGUGGCGACAGCAGCUGAGAUAUGCAGUGGAUAAAUGCAACAAUCAGGCAAUCUUUAAAGAGAAUAGGGAUAAAAUAAGAGACCUGGGCCUUGUUUAUCUUUUUGAUGAGAAGAUGAUGACGUUAUUUCGGGAAAUCAUGGAAAACUGAGACGAUCCGCACUACCUCCCUAGGUCCCUUUCUGUUCAUUAAGCUAUCACAGAACUGGUUAAAACUAGCAUUUACAUCAGCUAGAACUAUCAAAAUAGAUGCAUCAAUUUCUCCACUGGCUACAUGUACUCCCAAACAAUUUGAACAAUUCAUUCAGGCAGCAAGUGUUUCCACCAAUAAAAUAAAAAGAAUUGCUUUCAUCCAGAAGAACUGUUUGAACUGUGGACUGUUUGAAAUAUUUUGAACCUGCUCAGAAAUCCCUUCACAGCUUGUCUUUGAAUUUGAAAGGCUGUUUUUAAUUAAAUAAA